rnacentral:rRNA from 1 species
UGGGGAAUUGUUCGCAAUGGGCGCAAGCCUGACGACGCAACGCCGCGUGGAGGACGAAGAUUUUCGGAUCGUAAACUCCUUUCGAUCGGGACGAAUCGGUCGCGACCUAACACGUCGCGGCACUGACGGUACCGAGAGAAGAAGCCCCGGCUAACUCCGUGCCAGCAGCCGCGGUAAUACGGGGGGGGCAAGCGUUGUUCGGAAUUACUGGGCGUAAAGCGUGCGCAGGCGGUGAUGUAAGACAGGUGUGAAAUCCCCGGGCUUAACCUGGGAACUGCAUUUGUGACUGCAUCGCUGGAGUGCGGCAGAGGGGGAUGGAAUUCCGCGUGUAGCAGUGAAAUGCGUAGAUAUGCGGAGGAACACCGAUGGCGAAGGCAAUCCCCUGGGCCUGCACUGACGCUCAUGCACGAAAGCGUGGGGAGCAAA